CAUGGAUUUUGGACUAAUUAAAACAAAGACUUCCUUUUUUUCCUCAACUUUUCUCUAAUAAUAAUAUAUUAAUAACAUCUCAAAAAACACAUAAAAUAGAACUCGAUGAACAUUCGCCGGAAAUAUAAAAUAGUGGUGGUGCUCUGUCUCCGUCGAAGCAAUAACAUAUGAGAUUUGUAAGUUGUAUUAUACAUUGAUGAGAAUUGACUCUGUUGGUGCUUUCCUUUGUGGCUCCUUUUCAGAUCUUCAGAUCUCCGGCGACCACGCGCACGUCUUCUUCGCGAGACCCUCCGUUCAGUGCCUCACUCCGAAUCUGACCCUAUUGUUCGAGCUAGACCAGAGGAAGUUGAUUCCAUCGGAUUUUAUUUCUGGCUUUUGGAGAGUUUGUAAUGGAUGAGAAAGCAAUUCAAGUGGAGAACGUUUUCUUAAAGUUACUCAAGAGAUAAACUGCCUCGCUCUAUCUAGAUUCUUCUUGAGUCUGUGAUUUGUAAAUGUGAUCACUUCCAAGUGACCAAUGACGAUGUUAAGAAGACAAUUGACUGGGGAAAAACAGCUCCUAAACAAGUUUCUUUUUGAGUGACUUAUGUCGUAAAUCUCUCUUAGUAUUUUCCUUCUUUUUCCAGCUCUGAUUUUUCAUUACUCCCUUAUUUUAUUGUACCAUGCUGUCCACGCCCAUGGUUAUGAAUAUUAUAAUUCAACGAUC